rnacentral:lncRNA from 10 species
GUGACACUGCUCCACAGAGCAGAGAAGCCCUGGCCCCCAAGAAUCCAUUCGGCCCACGAGGAUGGGACUGGGCUCAGGCAUGCUGUCUGCCCCAGGCAGGUAGACAGAGGCUGCCCACCCUGGGCAUCAGAUUCAGCCGCCUGCAGGAAGCCUCGCCAGCAUGCACAGGCCUGCCUUGGGGCUGAGCCCAGGCAGUUGAGGGAGGCCAGGGGAGAGAUGGCUGUUGGCAGAAGAACCAAAUAUCCUCAGAUAAUGAGGAUCUGCAAACACCUGCCUCCUCCAGUGCAUGGUGUGUCCAUCAAGACAACAGCCCCAAUCCAGCUGUUACUGAAGUCCACAAAACAGGAAGGAAAAAGCCACUGUAAUUCAAUUCCGG